UGUGUCUUUUUUUCGCGCUAUAGUGCAAUGUCCCCUUAUACAUGUGUUGCGCGGCUCUGUGGUGUUCUAACAUAGGGAAUUCCGGUUCUGCGAACUUUUUGAGGUUUUCUAAUGACAGCAGGCUUCUUUCUUGUCACCUGCGCCGGCUAACAGCGAAGCGACGCCUUCGUCAUCACUGUCUCCACCCUUGUCAUCUACCUGGGACAGCUACAGAGCUCUUGGAGUUGACUUUGGUGAAGCGUGUUACUGAUGAAGAAUGUCCACCUGCCAAAAGAAGCCGUUCCAGCCCAGAGAGAUAUGCCCUUAAGCUGUCGUCUAUAGCUGUCGACCAGACGUCUUCGGAGGCGGCCUGCAGUGGCGUGGUCCAAUCAGUUACAGGAUGUAUGGCGUGCAGCAGCAUAAGGAUCGCGAUCAGCAGGCCCUGAACAUGUUCUGCUACCAGGAGGAAGACACAGCAGAAGUGGUGUUCUGACCCAAGCCUGCAUGUCUUCCUUUCUGCAGCCCGCUUCCCCUAUCACGUGGUCGACGGUGGCGACGUCGGCUCAGUUAUUGGACACCUGCUUGCUCUGCUGCCGCGCAAUCCUCUGACAUGGCGCUGAGGACAGCAUCAUUUUUUCGAUGCUUUCACUCUCCAGGGCGGAAGUUUUUCGAAGGUGGCGUCGAACUUAUUCGUUAAAAUACUUUUGUACGAAGAACAUUGUGCUUCUGUAAUGUAUUUAAUUAAAGAGCUAUUGAUUUUCUAUUC